rnacentral:lncRNA from 1 species
UAGGCGCUUAUGUGCGGCUAAAAAGGGAUUUGGCUACCGAUGAGUUGGUUUUCGAAGCCAAAAAGGAAUCUGAAUGAGGGUUUUAACUAAUACGAAUAGGAGAAGACUUUAGAAAAGAUGUAUAAAGGAAAUUAUCAAGUCAAUUACAGGGAGAACAACGAUGAAAAACACAAAAGAGAAUUGCAAGGGAUGAAUAUCAAAGAGAGGGUAUUGGAGUAAAUUCAAAGUUUCUUCUUCUCUUCUCUAGUUUUAUCUUUUGUAAUUACUUGGGAUGUUUGGAUUAUUAAUCUGGAUGGUG